CGCGUAGGCGGCUCCGAAGGUGGCGUGUGAAAUCCCCCGGCUCAACCGGGGAAGUGCGCGCCAAACCACGGUUCUUGAGGGCGGUAGGGGGGACUGGAACUCUCGGUGGAGCGGUGAAAUGCGUAGAUAUCGAGAGGAACACCGGCGGCGAAGGCGAGUCCCUGGUCCGCAUCUGACGCUGAGGCGCGAAAGCGUGGGUAGCAAAACA
rnacentral:rRNA from 1 species